GCGCUGGGUUUCUCCCUCUUGCAUCUCGUUGUCCCCCUCCAGAGUGAGCGCGGUGACAGCAAGAAGGGGUUGGCAAGUUUAAUGUUAUGUCCCAGGCCUGGCAAAAUACUCCGAAUAACUUAUUAAAACUCCUCUAUAGCUUGCAGUCCUGCAGAAAGAAAUAUCUUCACUGGAAGUUCUGAUAAACCUGAACAUGAACAGUGGGCAGAAAAAAAGUGUGCAGUCAUGCAGCUGUGCAGCUGCCAGGCCAACCUGCAACAUCACCUCUACAGAAGUAGAUCAGAGUUUCUGCUUCCAGGAGGUGUAGAAAGACACAUAAAGAUUAAACACCCAUCGAAAAACAUCCUGCCAUGCAAAUACAAGAAUUUUUGUCGUCAGUACCAUACAACAACCACAAGCCCUGGAAUGCAUGGGGCUGUAGAGGCAUUCCUUCACACAUCCCCUGCACCGUGA
rnacentral:lncRNA from 1 species